rnacentral:tRNA from 1 species
GGGGCCGUAGCUCAGUUGGGAGAGCGCUUCCUUCGCAAGGAAGAGGUCGGGGGUUCAACUCCCCUCGGCUCCA